rnacentral:rRNA from 1 species
GAUGAACGCUGACAGAAUGCUUAACACAUGCAAGUCAACUUGAAUUUGGGUUUUUAACUUAGAUUUGGGUGGCGGACGGGUGAGUAACGCGUAAAGAACUUGCCUCACAGCUAGGGACAACAUUUAGAAAUGAAUGCUAAUACCUGAUAUUAUGAUUUUAAGGCAUCUUAGAAUUAUGAAAGCUAUAAGCACUGUGAGAGAGCUUUGCGUCCCAUUAGCUAGUUGGAGAGGUAACAGCUCACCAAGGCGAUGAUGGGUAGCCGGCCUGAGAGGGUGAACGGCCACAAGGGGACUGAGACACGGCCCUUACUCCUACGGGAGGCAGCAGUGGGGAAUAUUGGACAAUGGACCGAGAGUCUGAUCCAGCAAUUCUGUGUGCACGAUGAAGUUUUUCGGAAUGUAAAGUGCUUUCAGUUGGGAAGAAAGAAAUGACGGUACCAACAGAAGAAGUGACGGCUAAAUACGUGCCAGCAGCCGCGGUAAUACGUAUGUCACGAGCGUUAUCCGGAUUUAUUGGGCGUAAAGCGCGUCUAGGUGGUUAUGUAAGUCUGAUGUGAAAAUGCAGGGCUCAACUUUGUAUUGCGUUGGAAACUGUAUAACUAGAGUACUGGAGAGGUAAGCGGAACUACAAGUGUAGAGGUGAAAUUCGCAGAUAUUUGUAGGAAUGCCGAUGGGGAAGCCAGCUUACUGGACAGAUACUGACGCUAAAGCGCGAAAGCGUGGGUAGCAAACAGG